rnacentral:rRNA from 1 species
GUCCACGCUGUAAACGAUGGGCACUAGGUGUAGCGGGUAUUGACCCCUGCUACGCCACAGCUAACGCAUUAAGUGCCCCGCCUGGGGAGUACGGCCGCAAGGCUAAAACUCAAAGGAAUUGACGGGGGCCCGCACAAGCGGUGGAGCAUGUGGUUUAAUUCGAUGCAACGCGCAGAACCUUACCUGGGUUUGACAUGCCUGGAAGUCCCAAGAGACUGGGAUGUGCCCUUCGGGGAGCCAGGACACAGGUGCUGCAUGGCUGUCGU